rnacentral:rRNA from 1 species
UACGUAGGGUGCAAGCGUUGUCCGGAAUUAUUGGGCUAAAGAGCUCGUAGGCGGUUUGUCGCGUCUGCUGUGAAAACUCGGGGCUUAACUCCGGGCCUGCAGUGGGUACGGGGCAGACUAGAGUGCGGUAGGGGGAGACUGGAAAUUCCUGGUGUAGCGGUGAAAUGCGCAGAUAUCAGGAGGAACACCGGUGGCGAAGGCGGGUCUCUGG